rnacentral:sRNA from 1 species
GUCGUGAGAUGUUGGGUUAAGUCCCGCAACGAGCGCAACCCUUGCCUUUAGUUGCCAUCAUUAAGUUGGGCACUCUAAAGGGACUGCCCGUGUCAAACGGGAGGAAGGCGGGGAUGACGUCAAGUCCUCAUGGCCCUUAUGUCCGGGGCUACACACGUGCUACAAUGGGCGGUACAAAGGGCAGCAAACCCGCGAGGGGGAGCCAAUCCCAAAAAGCCGCUCUCAGUUCGGAUUGGAGUCUGCAACUCGACUCCAUGAAGGCGGAAUCGCUAGUAAUCGCGGAUCAGCACGCCGCGGUGAAUACGUUCCCGGGCCUUGUACACACCGCCCGUCACACCAUGGAAGCCAGCUGUACCGGAAGUCGGUGAUGGAACCCGCAAGGGACCUAGCCGCCGAUGGUAUGACUGGUGACUGGGGUGAAGUCGUAACAAGGUAGCCGUAGGGGAACCUGCGGCUGGAUCACCUCCUUUCUAAGGAGUUCCUGCCCGAAAGGGUUUGGACACCUAGGUCAAUCCGCAUGUCCGGUUGGUGUGCGGUUCACCGUGCCGAAAGCUACUAUUCAGUUUUAAGGGACUGAGACGCUAGAUCCCACGACACCGACUCGAGCCGCAAUGAGUUGUGGGCCUAUAGCUCAGCUGGCUAGAGCGCACCCCUGAUAAGGGUGAGGUCGGUAGUUCGACUCUACCUAGGCCCAUCGUGUGGGGCUGUAGCUCAGCUGGGAGAGCACCGGCUUUGCAAGCCGGGGGUCGUGGGUUCGAUGCCCAUCAGCUCCAUUGAAACCGCAUAAGAUUCGUACGGCCGUCGUCAGUGGACGAUGUCCGAGCUCUUUGACAACUGAAUAGUGUGUACGGGUAACCGGUGAGUGCAAGCGCAUGAGUGCUCUUGCAUUACUGGUCAAGCUAUUAAGGGCACACGGUGGAUGCCUAGGCGCGAGAAGGCGACGAAGGACGUGGCUAGCUGCGAUAAGCUUCGGGGAGCCGCUAAGCAGGCUUUGAUCCGGAGAUUU